ensembl:lncRNA
GUUUCUCCAGAAAACAAAAAUGGCUCCAAUCUUCUUUCAUAGUUGGCUAAACUUUGAUGUUUUGGGGGCUUAAUUUUGAAUGUUUCUUUUAGCUUCACCAUGCCUUGCUGAUAGUGUCAUAAAUUACCGCGUAUGUGAGGAACCCUCUCUUACGGUGCUUGCAUUUGUCAGCGGGAAGAUUUCAAGGCUUUCCCCCAUCGUCUCGGGCACAGACAUCCUCUCCUCUCUGAAUUGAUGACACUCAUUAGGCAGCUGCCUCUGCUAUUCACGCCGUUAGUGAUGGAUUCAGAGCUUCAGCACAUCCUCGUGGGUGUCAGUAUUUCAUGCCAAUCCAGUAUGAAAUCAAUAAGAGCCACAGCGAUGGUUGGGCUAGGACAUUUCUGGCUGAGGGGAAGGGUCACACUUCAUAAGACAAAGGUGAAGGGCCCACUUUGGGGAAGUGGGGAAUCCAGGCAGCUCCCGGGGCAGGGGGAGCCUUGAGGCUGGAAAGCACAUGAGAGCAGAUGAGAACAGGAAAACAGUGCUGGCAAGCCUCUGAAAAGAGACUAACCCGCCUUGGCUUAAGGAAUUAAAAUCCUGUUCAUGCCUCUCUCAGCAUGUGACAGCCAAUGCAGUGGAUUCUAAAGAUCGGGUUAGACAAGCCUCAGUUUGACUCUUCCCUGGCACUUCAUGGCUGGGGAAAACUUGCCACACACGGCCUCAUGAUACUCAAGUCAUCGUGGACUGGAUACAUUUAUACCCAUCACCCGACCUGAAUGUAUUUCCAAUGGAACUUUUCCUUGGCCUGAUCCCCAAAAUGCUGCUGAUCCUUGAAGGCCUCAGACUGGAGGGGCAUUGAGCCCCAUGCUGGGGAGCUGGAGUAGCAAGGGGCCGAUUCUGAAUCAUUUGAAGUGACUGUAGCUUGCUUUUGCAAGUUUUGCUAAAAUAUAUGACCAUGAGAACAUACCGUUAGAGCACACACCUCCCAAGACCUGAGAAGAGGCCUGGGUAAGCCAGGGGUCCUGAAAUUUAAGCCCAAUUAGCCUUAUGGCAGAUGCACCUCUGGGAAGGCUGCCUGGAGGAAGAGGCAGGUGAGCCAGGCCUAGGAGUCUUUGGCUGGACCUUGAGAGUGGACAUUCCAAGUACAGGGAUUAAAGUGAGAAAAGCUGUCCAGGGUUCCCGAAUGGAGAGAAGCCUUGACUGCUUGGCUGAAGGGCUGACUUGAUCCUGGAGACGAUGGGGAGCUGUAGCAUGUAGGUGAUUAAUACGGUCCUUGGGGAGGGUUAGUCUGACAGCAGGUGUCGGACAAGAGAUGAGCAGCAGCCCAUGAGGAGGGACCUGGGUCAGAGUACUAGGACUUUUGAAGGACCAGGAAAGGGAGGUCUGAUCGGAGAAAGCUUUAGAAGGCAGAGCCACCAAGGCUGGGGUGUGGGGAUACAAAAGACCCAGGGGAACCCAGGCAGCACUGCUGUACUGACAGCUCAGGAUGUUAACAGGUGUUACUUGAAAGAAAAAGAAUGAUAUGGCCAAAUACAUCUCGGAAACACUGAUGAUAAUAUAACUGAUCAGGGAGUUUCUGUUGUGGCUCAGCAGUAAUGAGCCUGACUGGUAUCCACGAGGAUGAGGGUUCAAUCCCUGGCCUCGCUCAGUGGGUUAAGGAUCCAGCAUUGCUGGGAGCUGUGGUGUAGGUCGCAGAUGUGGCUCAGAUCCCCCAUUGCUGUGACUGUGGUAUAGGCUGGCAGUGGUAGCUCUGAUUCGCCCCCUAGCUUGGGAACCUCCAUAUACCAAGGGUUCGGUCCUAAAAAGAAAAAAAAAAAAAAAAAAAAAAGAAGAAGAAGAAUUUGAACAUGCAGGACUUAGCAUGGAUCUCAGCUGCUGCAGUUUGAAUGUUUGCAUCUCCCUCCACAAAUUAAUAUAUGAAAAUCCCAGCCUCUAAAGUGAUGGUAUUAGGGGGUGGGACCUUUGGGGGGUGAUGAGGCCAUGAGGGUGAAGCCCUCAUGGACGGGAUUAAUGCCCUUAGCAAAAGGAUCCCAGAGAGCGCCAUGGUGUGAGGUCCGUGGGCUGGCAAAGGGCCCCACCCGAUCCCAGUCUCAGACUUCCAGCCUGCAGGCGUGAGAAAUAAAUUUCUGUUAUUUACAAGCCACACAGCCCGAGAUGUUUUGUUACAGCAGCCCAAACAGACCGAGAUACCUGCAAAAGGCCAGUCCAGAUGGACCACUGGUUGAGGGAUAUUAUGCACGGCUUGCUAUCAACCAGACACCUCUCUAAGUGCUUUAUGUGUAUUAAUUCUUCCUGGUCCUCACCACCACCCAUCCCUGUAAGGUAGUUACUGUUGCUCUCCCCAUUUUGCAGAUGAGCAAGCUGAGGCUUAGAAUGGUUCCGUGAUUUGCUCCUGACCAUCAUUGCAAGGUGGGCAGGGCCAGAUUCAAGCCUAUCGAGGAGAGGAAGGGGCUGACAGAGUGGUACAAGGGGAGGGCUCCAGGUCUUAACUACAGAACUGACCCUGUGCAGCCAGGAGUGACAUAGUGGGACAUCUCAGUGAAGAUGUCCAACGGGCAAGACUGGCCUUCAGGAGCGAGGUCAGGCUGGAAAUAGAAACUGGGACUUCCCCUGCAGCCUGCCCUAGUGACAUCAUGCCACUCCUGGCUGCUCCCUGCCAGACAAACCCACAACUGGGUUAUGCGAGUGAGCAUGAUUUAGGGCAAGCUCGUUCUGAGAUGCUGAGCUGAGGCGGUCAACCAGCCUGAUCAGUUUCCCCCUCGGGGGACACAUGGGUACCUGGGCCCUUGGAUCAGGUGGGACCUGUCCUGCAUCCCAUCUACAGCUCGUACUGAGGUGAGCUUUGGGUAUCCAGAGGGAGAAUCUCAUUCUCGGGGCUUCUGCUGCUCAGAUUUCUUACCAGUUCCCUGCCAGUUAAUCCCACAGGAGACCCUAGCUGGAGGAACACAGGAGGCCUGCGCACUAGUGCUCCUUCAGCUUGGCCAGCUGAGAGGGGCUUCUUGCAAUCCCUUCCUCUGCCUCAUCCUCUCCCCAUGACUCCACAAAGGAGAAUGGCUGAGGAUCAGGGGAAAAACUCUGGUUGCAAAACAGAGAGGUCCUACAACCUGACCAAGGUCACACAGCCACCAGGAAGCAGAGGCAUUACUCAAACCCUCAGCCUGCUGUUCUCUGCAUCUCACUGUCCCUGCUUCACUGAAGAAGGCCACAGCCAAGAAGCAGGCUUGUAUCCAGAAGUGGCCUCUGGUACCCAGAACACAGCAGGGUGGGCCACUGAUGCAGCGGUUGCUGUGAUGAGGGAGGCGUUUUGGCAGAAGUGAUGUAACACAGCCCCAUCCAAAGAGCACAAGGUGCUGAGUCCCAGUUUUCACUUCUAGAUGUUAUGCAUCUUAUCCUGUUCCUGACCCAACCUACGCCCAGACUCUCAUCCAUCCCUGAUCCCCAUCAUCCUACUAAUUGAGCACAGUGCCUAUUUUUACCAAGAAUGUUUAAUGAUUUGUUUCCAAGGUUCAUCCUAAUGCCCCUGGUCUCAGAGAAGCAGCCUCCGAAAUGUCAGUUUCCUAUGAUCAAUCCCCGUCCCCAAACCCUCCCCCCCAAGAAGUCUGCAAAUGCAUUGAAGUAAGAAGACUGGUGUUCUUUGGCUUCUGGCUUCUGCAAGGUGCCCUACACGCAAGGACGCAAUCCUCCAAAACAACAUGCCCCUCUUCCUGGUGAGGACUCUGGGCUCAGUGACUCGCUCAAGGUCAUUCCAGUUUCCCACAGCAGAUUUGCUCCCGUUCUGAGGGCCACUCUGCUCCUGUGUUUGUGCGGGCAGAGGAAGUGGGCAGGGAACCCUGUGAUGGCGAUCCAUUCCUGAGCACUGUUGGAACCCAUAGGGAGCCCCUUAAGUUCUCAAGAGCCAAGGGCACCCACAGGGCAUCCUCGGUCCCCGCAGACACCUUUGCAUAUGCAGAUGAGUCUGGAUGUGCACAGCUACUGUGGCUGCCAGCUUUGGAGGGGCCAUUAAUUUCAGGGAGAUCAAUGACUCCCAACGAUUCUCAGGGACAGCCAAGUCUCCUCUGUUGGUCUGAGUCAUUGUGGGAAAGCUGGCUUGAGGAGUUCCCCUGAGCCCCUCAUACCAGCAGGUGCAGCCCCCAGCCCUCUGAUCCAGCUUGGGGUGGGUAAGGGAGAUACUCCUUGGGGUAUUCAGUCAUCAUGGAAUGUGCCCCAUCAGAGGACACCAGGUGACUUGCCGUGUGCUCCACUGGGAUCUGGGGAAGUCAGCCAUGAGCCAGACAGGUGUGCGGGCUGAGGGGAUGGGAGCAUUUUGACUCCUGCCGUCGGCUUGGGACACAUCUGGAGGGAAACCAUCAGAACAAAAAUAAAAACCACGGUGAAUGUUUUCAUGGCAUGUUCACCCUCCGUUGGGCACAUGUAUCCUCGUUUAUUCUUCUCAGCGAUCCAGUGAGACUGAUUGGGAUAUCACCAUCCCCAUUUUAAAGAUAAGGAGACAGAGCUGGAAGAAGUUACAGGGUAUCCAGUGUCAUAUGGCUGGUCAGCCAGGUGGCCAGAAUCUGAGCCAUCAUGUCCCAGGACCUCAGCUGGGAACCACUUCACUCCCCUCCUAAGAAGAUAGCAUUCCAGGGAGUUCCCAUUGUGGUUCAGCAGUAAUGAACUUGACUAGCAUCCGUGAGGACGUGGAUUCAAUCCCUGGCCCCACUUAGUGGCUUAAGGAUCCAGUGUUGCUGCAAGGCUCACCAUCGGUUGAAGAUGCGGCUCAAAUCCCACGUUGCUCUGGCUCUGGUGUAG